rnacentral:rRNA from 1 species
UACGAAGGGGGGCUAGCGUUGCUCGGAAUCACUGGGCGUAAAGCGCACGUAGGCGGAUAUUUAAGUCAGGGGUGAAAUCCCAGAGCUCAACUCUGGAACUGCCUUUGAUACUGGGUAUCUUGAGUAUGGAAGAGGUGAGUGGAAUUCCGAGUGUAGAGGUGAAAUUCGUAGAUAUUCGGAGGAACACCAGUGGCGAAGGCGGCUCACUGGUCCAUUACUGACGCUGAGGUGCGAAAGCGUGGGGAGCAAACAGG